AGCACGCAGAGGGGAUACAUCAAAACAGAUGUAAUCUUUGUAGCAUGGGCCGUUCGUUGGCAACUGAAAGUUACUGCUGAUGCCCAUUGUGUUUCGGACCUGGGGUCAGAGGUGCUCCUGCUUUUCCCUCUGCCAGAUAAAAGCAUCAGUGGUGUCACAGUGCUCUUCGCAGAAACGCUCCCUCAGAGAAGGAUGGAAAUGUUGAGCUGUGUCUUUGUUCUGGAGCCCCAGUCUUUACCAAAAGCUUUGUGCUUGGCCACAGACAUGAAUAAAGGGAGCAAAGCACAGGUUUCUAAUUGUUGUGACAUCCAUAUUUCUUACAAUCAGAGGGAAAAAGAAGAGAAACACAACUGACUUAAGAGGCCCAGACCCAACAGGAAUGGCCUGGAAUUAGCGAAUGUAAAGACUCAGCUUUGAGUCAUGUUCUAGGCUGGAGUAGAGUUGCCUGCUUUAUCUGAGCACUGCACUUCAGACUUUCAAACCACAAGGAUGGCUGUAACUUGGCCUCAGAAGACGGCAGCCAUUUUCUCUGUCAGCUUAAUGUAUUGGUCUUGAAGCUGUGGGAACUACUGGCUGGAACACAGCUGCGGUGAAUGGACAAGUUUGCUGUUUGCAUGUUUUAAGUUUGUUUUUUCCCCUCUUCCCAGUGUAAUU
rnacentral:lncRNA from 1 species